GGUGCUUAGCAGAAUCCUCAGCUCACAGGAUGAAUAAAUGGAUACUAAAUGACGCACAAAUAAUCUUCACACACAACCAUCAACACACGGAAAGACAGCAGGAUGUCCAGACCCCAAGGUAACAAACAGGGGAAGAUGAUGUUUCAAAUGAUCAUCUGAAUGUUGGGUUUCCACCUUCCACCAGGAAGUCAUAUGGUCAAAUUCUCCCAGAUCCUGAAAUGUAUCUUUUGAUAGAAAUGACUCUGGUACUUUCCCCAACUUACUUUCUAUGGAGCACUUUCCUAAAACAAGAUUUGUAUUUAAAUAUUCCUCCUUCUACAAAGUAUUAAACACUAGUAAGUUCUGCAACAUUGACAAUGGAAACCUGGCAAUGUGCUCUUGUUUGACUAUUAAGGAAUUGCUUCCAAGUACCACAGGGCCUUGAAGACCAAAAUAACACAAUACCUGGAAGGUGAACAAUGGCAACUUACCAGGUGUGGUAAACACUUUUUUCCCAAGAAGAUCCUUUAUUCCUUCUGAAUGCACAUCAAGAAUGAGAAAAUACAUAAAUCACACAUUUGUUAAUAA
rnacentral:lncRNA from 1 species